rnacentral:rRNA from 1 species
CAAUAGCGUAUACUAACGUUGUUGCAGUUAAAAGCUCGUAGUUGGAUUUCUGAUGUCCUAAGUCCAGACUGGCCCACCGGGUCAGGAUUUUGGUUCUUAGGCGUCAACAUUUGGCGUGGCAGUAGUUCGUGCCUUCAUUGGUCCGGCUACUCAAUCGUCUCGUUUACUUUGAGAAAAUUAGAGUGUUCAAAGCAGGCUCUUGCCUUGAAUAUGUUAGCAUGGAAUAAUGACAUAGGACUAAAGUUCUAUUUGUUGGUUGUUCGAGAACUAUAGUAAUGAUUGAUAGGGACGGUUGGGGGCAUACGUAUUCCGGGGCGAGAGGUGAAAUUCUUGGACCCCCGGAAGACGAACAGCUGCGAAAGCGUUUGCCUAGGACGUUCUCUUUAAUCAAGAACGAAAGUUGGGGGAUCGAAGAUGAUCAGAUACCAU